ACGCAUUUCAGAUACUUUUUGUAUCUUACAGAACAUUAUGUAAUUUGUCACUUAGAUGUCACUAAGCUACAUAUAAAAAAAAAGAUCAGACAUACCAAAUAAAAAUUAUGCAAAUGCCUUUUUUUCCCUGUGGUAUGGUCUGUAGGAUCCAGGGUUCUGACCCAGUAAUACCCUCAGUCUGGCAAGUACGUGCGUGAGUGGAAGUUGCAGGACCCUGCUGCACCACAGCACUCUCAAUCUGUGCUGGAGCCCCCUUGCAGACCUUGGUGACCUGCACAGUCCUUUUUUUUUUUCUUUUCUGCCUGGGAUCUGGCAAUGACCUCCUGCAACCUAACUCCUCUCCCCACCAGUGUUUUCUCCAGGCUCUGAGUCGACCUGGCUAAUGCUUUUAGCUGUAAGGAGAUGAAAAGAAGGCACCAAAAAGGUGACAAUACAAAACAGCCAUUGGAAUUCUUUGUUUUGGCACAAAAUUUCAUUGCUUCUGAUGAGGAAAACUAUCUCAAAUGUUGUCGAUCCCAGUGGAGGGAAGAGAAAUAGGGCAAGUGGCUGCUCCACCCAAAGCUCUCCAGUCCCCAAGUGGAAGUAUCUCCAAAGGUCUCUGGGAAGGCCCCGCUGAGCCACAUCCAAAAAGCCCAGGACCAAUCCCAAGCACAGCUCUUGCCAGAUGUGAUUCUCUUCUCUACUUCCAAGAGGGACAAUCCAGGGGACUUUGACUAAAAUCCAAGGGACAAGGGAACCCUCUCAUGACUUGAAGUCACCCAGACCAACUGAGCUGCACCAGCUGCCUGCAGUGACAAUACCACACUCUGCUCUCUAUGUGGGGGGACUCCAGUGGCCAGAUCAUCUCCUCAGUGGCCCAAAGCACAUCACACCCAUCCAUACCACUGCCUCUCCUGCUGGGCAGUCUCAGACAAGCUGCCAAGAAAGGACUGAGUUGUUUUUUUUUUUUCCAGACCUCACAGUGGUCCAGCAAAAACAGUGUGAAGACACAUGGGUAGGACAAUGUGAAUUUGCUUGGCUGUUACUGGAGAACUAUCCAUACAUUGUAAAUUAAAGGAAGCCACCUACUCAGCAACUUUGCGUCGGCACUAAAUUCACGAAAGGGUAAAAUGCCAGAGGACCACUUGUAAUGGCAUUGUGCCUUGUCAGAGCAGCACAGCCACAAAAAAAAAAAAAAAAAGUUUGAGGUGCUGAACAAUGAGAGUAUUAUAUUGGCAAAGAUGUGCUUUUCUUCCAGUGGGAAUUCAGUCACUAAGUGCAUCAAGAGGAUUUACAGCAACCUUUUGCUGUAAUAACAAGAUAUAGGCCUACAUGAAAAUCCCAUGUUUGGCUGUGGCACACUGGCUAAGACUGCUCUGUCUCCUUCUUGCAGUGAGUUCCCAAAGAAGGAAAUUGCUUAUUUCUGCUACUACAGUAUGUCUGAAAUCAAGGAGUAGUCUGGUGGUGCCAUGCCAAAUUUUCCGAUGCAUAAAGUUUCUCUGUCUCCCGAGUUAAAGUAAUCUGCAUGUGGUCUUGCACAUAUUACUUACAUCAUCUUUUUAAGAAACUUAAUCCGUCCAGUUUCAAGCUUUGAAGUUUUUCUGUACAAUGUAAAAGGGUUAAGUCUACCCAGACUGCGUCAGGUGCCCUGCAUGCAUUACACCGCGUAUUUUGUGGGAUUACAAGUGCUUAUCAACUGUGCAAAUAAACCAGUCCAGUGUAUUUAUUCCACUCAAGAUUGUCUGAAACUGGUUCAUUUCUAAUAACUGUCAGCUAAACCACUAAGCCAGGUGGGGAUGAUUCUUGUUGGAGCCGUUUUGAGCUCUAACAGCAGUUUCUAAAUCUCCUUCCAUUACUUAUUAUUAAUUACUGUUUGUUAAGCACCAGCAGUGCAAUCGGUGCUAGGUAAAAGACAAAUAAAGGCAGCCCCCGUACCAAGGGGUUAACCUUUAAGCACAAGGCAUAUCAAUUAAGAUCACAGUAUGAACAGCGAGAGACGCCUUGAAUCUGAAGCCAGGAGCCGGGAUUUCAGUGAUUGUAUUUCUGGCGUCUGUGUCUGUAAGAGGAUAAAAAGGCACAGAAGUGUUUUGGGGUAGGUGGGGGUUUCGGUCAAAUUGAAAACUGACGCACCUAAAACUAAGAGGGAGAA